ensembl:snoRNA
UUAUAAUGAUGUCUUCAAAUGUCUGACCUGAAGUCAGCAUGUAGACAAAUAUAGCACUGAAGUG